AGAUGGGAAGCACAUUCAAAAAUCACGCUUCAGCUCUCUUUUAGAUCAGCGCCAUUUUUAGAAGCAAAACAGAAUAAUUUCAAGGUGCGAUGAAAGCAAGAUAAGCUUUUCUUCAUGUGGACACACAGAGUUUUGGAGUUCUGCCUUUAGAGUCCCAUAUGUGGCUGUGCAGAGACUGUGUGGAUCUUCUCACACAUCCAUAUCAAAGCUUUUAAAACACUUCAGAAUUACAACAAUCCCUUUGGUGUCCAAUGGGCCAGCUUGAUAAUUUCUCAACCCAGCUCCUCAAAAUUGUCAAAAAAAGGAGGAGCAGCGUCACAGAAGAUCACAAACAUCCUGUCAGUUAUGGAUCAGCAUGCCACUAUUGGGAAAAAAGGGAAUGCAUCCUGAAAUCCCUGGCAGAUCUUCUUAAUGAAGAGCCCUCAAACCUCGUGAAGGAGUAUAUGGAUGUUGAACAUGAAGAUGCCCUAACCUAAAUGUGCAACACCACCCUUGGAAUCCAUGUAAUUGUACAUAAAGGGGCAGAUGCUACAGACCCUUAUGAAGACAUUGGGAUCAUUACUGAAGGCAUCCGUAUACUUCAAAAUCUAAAUAAUGUGCCAAAUGCGUGCUCUGUGCUGCUUGGUGUAAUUUACGCAUUGAACUUGUUUUCUCCAUAGUGUUGCACUGUUGGCUACUGCAGUACAUUUGUUUCAUUAUUGCCCAUGUCAUAUUCCUUUUAAAUUGGUCUUGCUUUGAAUAACAGAUGCAUUUUUUUCAGUUUCAAGGAGGCACAUAUUACAAAUGAAGACUGACAUUUUUUUCCAUAAGUGUAAUACUUGCAUGUUAGUAUUUUGUAAAUCCUUUUGAAGGCAGCAUACUUUUUAUUUUUACUUCUUUUCUUGUAUUAAGUGAAGAACUUUGAUUUUAAAAAAGAAGCAUUUGUACAAAUUCUUGUUGGAGAAAUUUGUAAAAUUUGUAAUGUUUUGAAUGGACAUUGAAUAAACUCAAUGAAACUUGA